UAAAAAAUGUUAUGUCCAACUUAUCCCUAAGGUUGGUCCCGCUGUGGGGUGCCUCCUCCGAGUGUACUCGACCAUAAUUAUUAGGAUGCCGCUUUUCUACGCCAACGACUUCUAUCGCUCGUGUAAUCUUGUUGUGACAAGUUGAGUGGCGAAGUGGGGAAGCACUCGAGUGUGAGUGGAGGAUAAUAAAAGUAGUAUGCGUUCCAUCGAUUGAUCUGCCAUUUAAACCUAUGGAAAAGGAUCGAUAAAGAGGGUGUUCGCAACGAACAUCUUAUUAAUCGAUUCUUCAUCAUGGCUUCGAAUGAGGGGGAUAUCGAUUAUCGAUCACUCACGCCGCGCCACUGGGUAAAAAAAUAAUUCCUCCUCCGGCGGGAGUUAGACAACUUAACGAUCAGUGUUGUUCUAGCGUCACGGCCGACGCGUCUUGUCGUGGUUUCGUCUGGUCGAGCUGGAUCCGCGUGGAUCGCCGGACUGCACCGAUCAGCUGAUUUUCCCGCGCUGGAGACUCAACGCCCAUCUACUGUUUCAUGGACUGUUUUUAUUCUAGGUGCAACCGUACAACUUAGAAUUUUUGAUGACGGUAUCGCGCUGCGCCGUCGAGCCUAUAUUGAAGACAUUUUUCCACUGCCAGCAACUAUUUUAACUCUCCGGAGAUCAAAUUGCCCAUGCCACGAAAUGAAGGAGUUUUGAGGGAAUCCGGUGUGACCUGUAACUUAAAAUCCAUAACAAGGACACUGCGCUGUGCCGUCGCGCCUAUAUUGAAGACAUGUUUCCACUGCCAGCAACUAUUUUAACUCCCCGGAGAUCAAAUUGCCUAUGCCACGAAAUGAAGGAGUUUUGAGGGAAUCCGGUGUGACCUGUAACUUAAAAUCCAUAAUAUGGACACUAUGCGCCGUGCCGUCGCGCCUAUAUUGAAGAUACGUUUCCACUGCCAGCAACUAUUUUAACUCCCAGGAGAUCAAAUUGCCUAUGCCACGAAAUGAAGGAGUUUUGAGGGAAUCCGGUGUGACCUGUAACUUAAAAUCCAUAACAAGGACACUGCGCCGUGCCGUCGCGCCUAUAUUGAAGAU
rnacentral:lncRNA from 1 species